rnacentral:rRNA from 2 species
CAUGCGGCAUCUAUAAUGCAGUCGACGACUCUGGUAUUGAUUGGUGCUUGCAUCAUGAUUUACAUUUGAGUGAGUGGCGAACUGGUGAGUAACACGUGGGAAACCUGCCCAGAAGCGGGGGAUAACACCUGGAAACAGAUGCUAAUACCGCAUAACAACUUGGACCGCAUGGUCCGAGCUUGAAAGAUGGCUUCGGCUAUCACUUUUGGAUGGUCCCGCGGCGUAUUAGCUAGAUGGUGGGGUAACGGCUCACCAUGGCAAUGAUACGUAGCCGACCUGAGAGGGUAAUCGGCCACAUUGGGACUGAGACACGGCCCAAACUCCUACGGGAGGCAGCAGUAGGGAAUCUUCCACAAUGGACGAAAGUCUGAUGGAGCAACGCCGCGUGAGUGAAGAAGGGUUUCGGCUCGUAAAACUCUGUUGUUAAAGAAGAACAUAUCUGAGAGUAACUGUUCAGGUAUUGACGGUAUUUAACCAGAAAGCCACGGCUAACUACGUGCCAGCAGCCGCGGUAAUACGUAGGUGGCAAGCGUUGUCCGGAUUUAUUGGGCGUAAAGCGAGCGCAGGCGGUUUUUUAAGUCUGAUGUGAAAGCCUUCGGCUCAACCGAAGAAGUGCAUCGGAAACUGGGAAACUUGAGUGCAGAAGAGGACAGUGGAACUCCAUGUGUAGCGGUGAAAUGCGUAGAUAUAUGGAAGAACACCCAGUGGCGAAGGCGGCUGUCUGGUCUGUAACUGACGCUGAGGCUCGAAAGUAUGGGUAGCAAACAGGAUUAGAUACCUGGUAGUCCAUACCGUAAACGAUGAAUGCUAAGUGUUGGAGGGUUUCCGCCCUUCAGUGCUGCAGCUAACGCAUUAAGCAUUCCGCCUGGGGAGUACGGCCGCAAGGCUGAAACUCAAAGGAAUUGACGGGGGCCCGCACAAGCGGUGGAGCAUGUGGUUUAAUUCGAAGCUACGCGAAGAACCUUACCAGGUCUUGACAUACUAUGCAAAUCUAAGAGAUUAGACGUUCCCUUCGGGGACAUGGAUACAGGUGGUGCAUGGUUGUCGUCAGCUCGUGUCGUGAGAUGUUGGGUUAAGUCCCGCAACGAGCGCAACCCUUAUUAUCAGUUGCCAGCAUUAAGUUGGGCACUCUGGUGAGACUGCCGGUGACAAACCGGAGGAAGGUGGGGAUGACGUCAAAUCAUCAUGCCCCUUAUGACCUGGGCUACACACGUGCUACAAUGGAUGGUACAACGAGUUGCGAACUCGCGAGAGUAAGCUAAUCUCUUAAAGCCAUUCUCAGUUCGGAUUGUAGGCUGCAACUCGCCUACAUGAAGUCGGAAUCGCUAGUAAUCGCGGAUCAGCAUGCCGCGGUGAAUACGUUCCCGGGCCUUGUACACACCGCCCGUCACACCAUGAGAGUUUGUAACACCCAAAGUCGGUGGGGUAACCUUUUAGGAACCAGCCGCCUAAGGUGGGACAGAUGAUAGGUGAAGUCGUAUCAGUAGCC